UUUCCGUAGGGUACCUGGAAGAUAUUGU
rnacentral:rRNA from 1 species